rnacentral:rRNA from 1 species
UACAGAGGGUGCAAGCGUUAAUCGGAAUUACUGGGCGUAAAGCGUGCGUAGGCGGUUUCAUAAGUCGGGUGUGAAAGCCCCGGGCUCAACCUGGGAAUUGCAUUCGAGACUGCGUAGCUAGGGUGCGGAAGAGGGAAGCGGAAUUUCCGGUGUAGCGGUGAAAUGCGUAGAUAUCGGAAGGAACACCAGUGGCGAAAGCGGCUUCCUGGUCCAGCACCGACGUUCAGGCGCGAAAGCGUGGGGAGCAAACAGG